UAUAUAAAAUAAUUUAUUUUAAUACACAAGUAUUUAUUUUCAUUUAUUAAAAACAAAAAACUUAAAAUAUUACGACUCAAUUAAUUAACUUCCAGAACCAUUUUAAUUCAUAACAAUUUAUAUAUAUAUUAAUUUCUAUAAGCAUUUUGUUAACUCAAUUAAUAAAACACAAAAUUAUUUAUUGGAUUGUAUUAUAUAACGCAGACCUAGCGGCAGUCUUUAUCAUAAAAGCUAUCAACGGCCGCUUUUCUGACUAAUCGUCAACGCGAAACCCGGUUUUCCAUCCAUCCAUCCAUCAUUGGAGUGGGGCCUGGAACGGUCACGACGACGUCCGACACACACCACCAUCAAAACUGUGGCAUUGGCAAACUGGAGAGGAUAUAAUUUGACGAAGCGGGUGAAGUUAUCAACAAUUACAAAGAUGUAUGAAAAUUGAAAAAUACCAGUGGGAAGAGGACCGUAGAAGUCCACUAACAAUUUAUCGAAAGGUUGAGAAGAGAGAAUAGAUUGCAUAGUACCCGCAAUGCAGGUGGUCUUUGAUUUACACUUCUGACACAACUCGCACGCUUGUACUAUACAACGGAUAAUUUUAUUGAAAGCGGGAAAGUAACAAAUAUUUUUUAUAGAUAGUAUAUAUUAGUAAUACUAAUAUAGUUUAAUUCCUAAUGCCUCUUUCCAAAAUAGCCUAUGUUCAAGAGUUUUGAGGACUAUAAAAUGUGUAUUUGACGCUGUAUGAGGCACACGGACACAACAGUAAUGUGGGAGAAAUUGUUGAAUAUCAUACAUAUUAUUUUUAUACAUAUAAUAUUUUUGUGUCGUUAUACCAUGUUGUUACCGAGUCAAAAGAAAAUCGAUUGGCCCAACGAUAACAACUAUACAGUAGAAACUCGAUCGACCGUCUCUCAGUUAUCCGACAUUGCUAUCGUUAAAUAUAAAUAAUUUGGUGUUGGUUUCAAUCAUAUAUGCUAGUUAAAUAAUAAAUAAUGAUAAAAAAACAACUAGGUGAGCCUGGCGCUCACUCAACAUCAAUGGCAGGACGUUACAUAACGAUACCAAAGACAAAUGAAUGAGACAAUUGAGAUUAACUCGUUGCGGCGAUUAUCAAGUGUGUACAAUUUUUUUCUAAUAUCCAACAUAUGAAAUAAACGUGCCGUGAACAAACAAAUUGAAUUAUUUUUAAUUAAAUUUAAUCAGUGAUUGACGAGUAACUCUUACAUAAAAUACGAAAUGUUGCAGCUGAAAAAGCUCGAGCGUCAAAAAAACAAAAGAAAAUCACAGAUUAUUUUGUUUAAAAUUGUUAGAUUUAAUUUAGUAGUAUAGUAGUAUGGUAUUUAAUAAGUAGUAUAUCCAUAGUCCCGGUAUCGAUAGUGAAGGUUGAUCGAGUUUCUACUGUAUUAGAUGACUGAUCAAAAUUACUAAAAUGACCAAAUCAUUCGAUCGAAUCUAACCUAACCUAACUAGACUGUCCAGAUUCAAAUAAUUCAAAUUAUUCAAACGACUGAAAAUUUUCAUCUCUAAUCUGACCGUACUCCGUCACACGUGGACUGCAACCUCAAUAUUCAACUGUUUUCGUUUUCGUAGUAACCAUAUUACAUAAACAAUAUAUCAUCAUGUCAUCGUAUAAACUAACAUACUUCAACGUAACUGGAUUGGGCGAACCUAUUAGAUUCUUGCUGUCCUACUUGAACAUUGAUUUCGAAGAUGUUCGUUUUGAACUUGAACAAUGGCCAUCGAUCAAACGUAGUAAGUAACCAUAAAUACCAAUUUGUAAUGCUAUUUUCAUUAUACUAUUAUGUAUUCAAGAUAUAAAUAACGCUUAUUUUUCUACUGUCUUGAAAUAUGUAUUAUUACCCUGGAAUAAAGAACCAUAGAUACCUUACUAUGAAUAUUUGUAAUUAGGGCUCGUAAGUUGUUGCAUUUGCAUUUUUUUUUUUUUUUUUGGACUAUUAGAUUUAUUACUAGGUAAGCUAGAAAUUCAUUCCAUGACACUACGAAAAAAUAUCAAAUAUUAAUAGUGCUUAUUUUGGUAUAUUCAG
rnacentral:misc_RNA from 1 species